UGUGGGUUUGUAGCAUCUGAGGUUAUGCAGUGAGAAAGUUGCAGCUGUUACACACAUACACACACACACACACACACACACAAACUGGUUCAUCAUCUCAUUGACUAUUAAAACGCAGACGGUCUGUGAUCAGUAUGUGUGAUGAGUAGUGAACAGCACCUUUACAGACUCAAAUCGCUUCAAUUCUGGAUUAUAUUUUGAAAGCCAUCACUAACCUGACAGCAUGUGCUGUGUGUGAAGCAGAGGGGUGAGGUUACACGCCAUAGCAUGCAGAGAGGCGUUCCUUCAAGAUGGGCGGGAACUGCUCCGAGAACUGCUGCCAGUUCUCCUCUCCGACCUGGUCCUUAAAACCAUGUAGGAUCUACACAGACACACAGCCUCAUUCAACAACAUGAGCAACAUUUUACCACUAUAAAGGGACAACGUGAUGUAACAACUCCAUGUGCGUCUAACCUUGUAGAACAUGUCCCUCAGGUCAUCUUUAGGGCUGACCCAGGAGGCCACGGCAUCACAGAAGAAGAUGAAGUCCUGAGGGAGAGACGGGUGAAAGGAAAUGAGUGAUGGAGGAGAGAGUAACAUCAUGGUCAGUCACAACGGAGUCAGAAUAACAGAACUGACCUGGACCACUCCGCCAGGAUUCACACCAAUCAUCACACAGAUGCCUCUGAAGGCCGAGUCCUUUUCCUCAUUAUCUCUGAUGUUUCGUAAUGAUGUGCACCUGCAAAAAAUAAAAACUUUAACAUUAAUUAAGCCUGUCUUAAGAAAAGCAUUAGCUGAAAAUGGAAAUAAUGCAAUUCUUAAAUCAAACUAACUUGCUGGCAAAAGUUUGGUGUAUAAGUCUCCUAUAUACUAUGAACUGAUUUAAAU